AGAUAAUUCUUCUCAUUAUCAUUAUUAUCUUCUUUACCUGAAAGAAAGAAGGAGAUGGCGGCUUCAUUAAAUUCACAGGAAGGAAAUUCAGAGAUGAAGAAUGGAAUGGAGGAAAUCAAAGGAAUUAGGGUAUAAUCACUAGAAGAAAGAAGAUGGAGGUUGUUGUGUUAAAUUGAGUUCUGAAUCGAGAAAUUCAAGGUGAUUUAGAAUAUGGGGUCAGAAUGAAAUUGGGGAUCUGUUUCCCUUUGAGACAAGGGAUAUCGGUGGCUUUGUAUGAAUUUGGUACUGAUGAUUCGAAUGGAUGAGAAAAGGGUUUACAGGGAGGAAUCAGAUAGAAGAUUUGGUGAAGGAUUUGUUGAAAUUAGGGUUCUGAAUGAACAGAUUGAGAGGGGUAUUACUCGAAAUAGGGUUUGUUUCUGUGAUUUGAUAAAGAUUACAGGAGAGGGAAACUGAGAUUCAAGGUAUGUGAAUAAUGGGUUUAGAGUUUGAAAUCGAGAAAUGGAAGAAUGGGGUUUGAAUUAAUUAGUUGGUUCGAUCUGAUAUGGUGGAAUUAGAAGAUAAAUCUGCUGAUGAACUGGAAGAAGAAGCUGUAGCUGUGAUUGGCUUUUGUGGAAAGGAUGCAAGUGCUGCAACUAGGAGUUGCAGUUGGUGCUGCUGGAGCUACAGAUGGUACUAGUAAUGGAAUUGCAGAUGGUGGUUGCUAUGCAGGAUUGAUGUUGUUGUCAAUUUAACACAGGGAAGAAGAUGAGUGGCUCUGGGUGUUAUCUGUGUUUGUGUUGCAUGCAAGUAAAGAAGGGGAUUUGGUUUGAAUAUGUGAAUGAUUUUGUGGUGGUAGUUUUCUUGAGAACUGAAGUUGCAGUUGUUAGGCAGUGGUGGACAAAAUGGUAUGAACUUCUGUUGUUUGUGACUAAAAUGGAUCUGGAAUUACAGGAAUUCAGGGUAUUGAUGCUGAUACUGAUAUCGAGUUACAAGUGGUGGUUCUGAUGUUUUUGAGCAAAUGGUUACUGAAUUGAUAUUGGUGGAAUGGUUUGAAUUUGAAGAAGAAGAUGAAUAUGAGAUGUCUCUGAGCUGAUGCUGCUGCUUAGAUGUAUGCUAGGACAAGUAUGAGCUACUGGUGGUAUCUUGUUGCCAUUGAGCUGGUGGAGAUGUGCAGUGUGUAACUGAUGCUGAACUGAAGUGGCAGAAUGAAUGAAAAUUGCAGUUAGAGUUAUUGAUGGAAUGUAAUUGGUGGUGUUGUUAUGGCAGUGGUGAAAAUAGAGCUACAGGGAAUGCGAUAUGAGUGUUUGUACUGAACUGCAGACCUUAAGGGUUUGAAAGAAUUGGUAAGUUCUGUAUGGAGCCAACAAGGAAGGAGCAACUGAUGCCGAGGAGUUACAGGAGUUAUUGGUUCAAGAUUGAAGCUCGAGAUGGAACUGAUGCCGUGGUGGUAUAUGUUCAUAUCAAGUGCUGCUUGUCAGUGCAACAGAAGGUUCUUGAUGAUUUCCAAGGGUAUGGCUUGUGUUGGAUUGUAGGAUAAGCUGCAGAGAAGGAGAGCUUGGUGCUGCAAUGAGCAAACUCUAGGAAUGAUGUGCUGUUACAAGUAAUGCUGCCAGGAGUGUGAAGCUGCAGUUCAACUGAAGCUAGAGCAGGCAAGGAUGGAAUUGAUUUAUGUAUGAAUGAAGAGAGAUUGUGAACCUGAACUGUGCUACAGAGGUGCAGGAAUGGCUCGAAUGAGGGAAUGAAUGCUUGCUGGUGAUGUUAGAACUGGCAGGGUGCAAAGAUGGGUUGCUGCAGAGCUGAGCCGAAGUUGAUUAACGGUUGCUGCAGUGGGCUACAAAAGAAGUUGCAGGUUAUAUUUCACAUUUAUUGUGGAUUUUCCUACCAAAAAGGAAGUUUUAUAGAAAUAAGCCCUUGCGACGAAAUGGGCUCAAAAAGCAGUGUUUUACACCCCAG